AUGACCGCAGAGAGAGACCAGUUACAGACCAGUUACAACAACAUGACCGCAGAGAGAGACCAGUUACAGACCAGUUACAACAACAUGACCGCAGAGAGAGACCAGUUCCAGACUAGUUACAACAGCAUGACUGCAGAGAGAGACCAGUUACAGACCAGUUACAAUCUCCUGACAACAGAGAAAGAACAGAUAGAAAGACAGGUUAAGCAAGUAACUGGUGAAAAGGACAAUUUACAGACCAGUCACAAUGACAUGAGAAACCAGCGAGACCAAUUACAACAACUCUACGCUAAAUGUGGAUGCUUCAGGAUUGGAGAUAGAGUCAGAGUGAAAGCCUCUAUACAAACUCCAAAGUACCAAUGGGGAGAUGCUUCACACAAAAGUGUUGGAGUGAUUACAACUCUUAAAGGUGAUGAUAUGGUUGUAAAUUUUCCUGAGCAUUCGGGUUGGAAAGGCAGAAAUUCUGAAAUGGAACUUGUUACUGGUUGUAACUAAAAUAGGAUCUCAUGCAGGAAAUGUAUGGCACCAUCCAUCCCUGGAAAAUACACACACAUGUCCAGAAUCCAGUAUCUUACAUCAUUUAGAUAUAAAAAAACAUUCAUUAUUCUUAUAUCUUCUCAUAUCAGAUUGACCAAAUAAGUGGAUGGAAAUUUAAACAUAAUCUAGCUGAAGUUUGAUGUACUGUUACAGCUUAGCACAAGUUGUCUUGUUUUCUCUUUUCUUUGCCCUUGUUCCUGGCUUGUUUUCUUUCCUUUCUGUUUCUGUGUAUUUCGUGUUUGUUUCCCCUCUGAGAGAUUCUGUCAACAACAAAUUGUACUUUUAUUAAGGUUUCAACAUUGAGAGUUUCCUUAGCUUCUAAACUUACUCACUCCCUACCCCCCUAUUCCCCUUUACACAGAUAUCAUUGCUAAAGGUAGUUGAUGCUCAUCUGUCUCAACAUUGCCUUCUUUGUUUAAGUCAUUUAUAUGGUAAUUUGAAAUCCCAGCUAAGGUGACUACCAUCUGAUGACCAUCAACCCCCAAUGAAGACACCCCCCACAUACUCCUCCCUAAACCCCUACCUUUCUUCCCCCUGCUGUGUUCAAAGCAGUUUCUACUGUAUGUAAAGUCCUACUGAAAUGUCUUAGUAGUUCAGUCUAGUUGAGUUGAGUCUAGUUCAGUCUAGAGAGUCUCACACAGACAAGUCACAUGGACUAGUCAGGCGGACACAGAGGGAGCAACGACCAACUAAGCUGUGCUCGUGUAGAUUUUCUGUCUGCACGAGAAUAAACUCAAGUCAUCCCUCA
rnacentral:lncRNA from 1 species